rnacentral:rRNA from 1 species
UACGUAGGGCGCAAGCGUUAUCCGGAAUUAUUGGGCGUAAAGAGCGUGUAGGCGGCCACACAGGUCUGCUGUGAAAACUCGAGGCUCAACCUCGAGCUGUCGGUGGAAACCGUGUGGCUAGAGUCCGGAAGAGGAGAGUGGAAUUCCCGGUGUAGCGGUGAAAUGCGCAGAUAUCGGGAAGAACACCCGUGGCGAAGGCGGCUCUCUGGGGACGGUACUGACGCUGAGACGCGAAAAGCGUGGGGGAGCGAACAGG